GAUGAACGCUGGCGGCGUGCCUAAUACAUGCAAGUCGAGCGAACGGACAAGAAGCUUGCUUCUCUGAUGUUAGCGGCGGACGGGUGAGUAACACGUGGAUAACCUACCUAUAAGACUGGGAUAACUUCGGGAAACCGGAGCUAAUACCGGAUAAUAUUUUGAACCGCAUGGUUCAAAAGUGAAAGACGGUCUUGCUGUCACUUAUAGAUGGAUCCGCGCUGCAUUAGCUAGUUGGUAAGGUAACGGCUUACCAAGGCAACGAUGCAUAGCCGACCUGAGAGGGUGAUCGGCCACACUGGAACUGAGACACGGUCCAGACUCCUACGGGAGGCAGCAGUAGGGAAUCUUCCGCAAUGGGCGAAAGCCUGACGGAGCAACGCCGCGUGAGUGAUGAAGGUCUUCGGAUCGUAAAACUCUGUUAUUAGGGAAGAACAUAUGUGUAAGUAACUGUGCACAUCUUGACGGUACCUAAUCAGAAAGCCACGGCUAACUACGU
rnacentral:rRNA from 1 species